UACGGAGGGUGCAAGCGUUAAUCGGAAUUACUGGGCGUAAAGCGCGCGUAGGCGGUUUUUUAAGUCGGAUGUGAAAGCCCCGGGCUCAACCUGGGAACUGCAUCCGAUACUGGAAGACUAGAAUGCGGGAGAGGGAGGUAGAAUUCUAUGUGUAGCAGUGAAAUGCGUAGAUAUAUGGAGGAAUACCAGUGGCGAAGGCGGCCUCCUGGCUCGACAUUGACGCUGAGGUGCGAAAGCGUGGGGAGCAAACGGG
rnacentral:rRNA from 1 species